UUUUUUUUUUUUGGUUAACAUUCCAAAUAUGUAUAACCAAUGAACUUGGCCUAGGUUUGUUUUUUUUUUAUUGGUAUUCACUUCAGAAACUUGAAUCCACAGAUAUAAGCAGUAUAUUACCAGAAAGUUACAAGUAAACACAGAUUAUACAUGCAAAUUUCUGUUCACAAAGG